rnacentral:rRNA from 1 species
CGAAUGCUGACAUAAGUAACGAUAAAGCGGGUGAAAAGCCCGCUCGCCGGAAGACCAAGGGUUCCUGUCCAACGUUAAUCGGGGCAGGGUGAGUCGACCCCUAAGGCGAGGCCGAAAGGCGUAGUCGAUGGGAAACAGGUUAAUAUUCCUGUACUUGGUGUUACUGCGAAGGGGGGACGGAGAAGGCUAUGUUGGCCGGGCGACGGUUGUCCCGGUUUAAGCGUGUAGGCUGGUUUUCCAGGCAAAUCCGGAAAAUCAAGGCUGAGGCGUGAUGACGAGGCACUACGGUGCUGAAGCAACAAAUGCCCUGCUUCCAGGAAAAGCCUCUAAGCAUCAGGUAACAUCAAAUCGUACCCCAAACCGACACAGGUGGUCAGGUAGAGAAUACCAAGGCGCUUGAGAGAACUCGGGUGAAGGAACUAGGCAAAAUGGUGCCGUAACUUCGGGAGAAGGCACGCUGAUAUGUAGGUGAAGCGACUUGCUCGUGGAGCUGAAAUCAGUCGAAGAUACCAGCUGGCUGCAACUGUUUAUUAAAAACACAGCACUGUGCAAACACGAAAGUGGACGUAUACGGUGUGACGCCUGCCCGGUGCCGGAAGGUUAAUUGAUGGGGUCAGCGCAAGCGAAGCUCUUGAUCGAAGCCCCGGUAAACGGCGGCCGUAACUAUAACGGUCCUAAGGUAGCGAAAUUCCUUGUCGGGUAAGUUCCGACCUGCACGAAUGGCGUAAUGAUGGCCAGGCUGUCUCCACCCGAGACUCAGUGAAAUUGAACUCGCUGUGAAGAUGCAGUGUACCCGCGGCAAGACGGAAAGACCCCGUGAACCUUUACUAUAGCUUGACACUGAACAUUGAGCCUUGAUGUGUAGGAUAGGUGGGAGGCUUUGAAGUGUGGACGCCAGUCUGCAUGGAGCCGACCUUGAAAUACCACCCUUUAAUGUUUGAUGUUCUAACGUGGACCCGUGAUCCGGGUUGCGGACAGUGUCUGGUGGGUAGUUUGACUGGGGCGGUCUCCUCCUAAAGAGUAACGGAGGAGCACGAAGGUUGGCUAAUCCUGGUCGGACAUCAGGAGGUUAGUGCAAUGGCAUAAGCCAGCUUGACUGCGAGCGUGACGGCGCGAGCAGGUGCGAAAGCAGGUCAUAGUGAUCCGGUGGUUCUGAAUGGAAGGGCCAUCGCUCAACGGAUAAAAGGUACUCCGGGGAUAACAGGCUGAUACCGCCCAAGAGUUCAUAUCGACGGCGGUGUUUGGCACCUCGAUGUCGGCUCAUCACAUCCUGGAGCUGAAGUAGGUCCCAAGGGUAUGGCUGUUCGCCAUUUAAAGUGGUACGCGAGCUGGGUUUAGAACGUCGUGAGACAGUUCGGUCCCUAUCUGCCGUGGGCGCUGGAGAACUGAGGGGGGCUGCUCCUAGUACGAGAGGACCGGAGUGGACGCAUCACUGGUGUUCGGGUUGUCAUGCCAAUGGCACUGCCCGGUAGCUAAAUGCGGAAGAGAUAAGUGCUGAAAGCAUCUAAGCACGAAACUUGCCCCGAGAUGAGUUCUCCCUGACUCCUUGAGAGUCCUGAAGGAACGUUGAAGACGACGACGUUGA